rnacentral:rRNA from 1 species
UACGUAGGGCGCAAGCGUUAUCCGGAAUUAUUGGGCGUAAAGAGCUCGUAGGCGGUUUGUCGCGUCUGCCGUGAAAGUCCGGGGCUCAACUCCGGAUCUGCGGUGGGUACGGGCAGACUAGAGUGAUGUAGGGGAGACUGGAAUUCCUGGUGUAGCGGUGGAAUGCGCAGAUAUCAGGAGGAACACCGGUGGCGAAGGCGGGUCUCUGGGCAGUAACUGACGCUGAGGAGCGAAAGCUAGGGGAGCAAACGGG